GAUCUUGUGGCUCACUGGUUGAAGCUCUGCCUCAUGAUUAAGAGGUUGCUGGUUCAAGACCAGCCAGGAUCU
rnacentral:tRNA from 1 species